rnacentral:rRNA from 1 species
CCGUGUACAAGUCUCUUGGAACAGAGCGUCGUAGAGGGUGAGAAUCCCGUCUUUGACACGGACUACCAGUGCUUUGUGAUGCGCUCUCAAAGAGUCGAGUUGUUUGGGAAUGCAGCUCAAAAUGGGUGGUAAAUUCCAUCUAAAGCUAAAUAUUGGCGAGAGACCGAUAGCGAACAAGUACCGUGAGGGAAAGAUGAAAAGCACUUUGGAAAGAGAGUUAAACAGUACGUGAAAUUGCUGAAAGGGAAACGCUUGAAGUCAGUCGCGUUGGCUGGAACUCAGCCUUGCUUUUUUGCUUGGUGCAUUUUCUAGUUGACGGGCCAGCAUCGAUUUUGACUGCUGGAAAAAGGCUGGGGGAAUGUGGCACCUUCGGGUGUGUUAUAGCCCUCAGUCGCAUACAGUGGUUGGGAUCGAGGAUCGCAGCACGCCUUUAUGGCCGGGGUUCGCCCACGUUCGUGCUUAGGAUGCUGGCAUAAUGGCUUUAAACGACCCGUCUUGAAACACGGACCAAGGAGUCUAACAUGCCUGCGAGUGUUUGGGUGGAAAACUCGAGCGCGCAAUGAAAGUGAAAGUUGAGAUCCCUGUCAUGGGGAGCAUCGACGCCCGGACUUGAACUUCGGUGAUGGAUCCGCGGUAGAGCAUGUAUGUUGGGACCCGAAAGAUGGUGAACUAUGCCUGAAUAGGGUGAAGCCAGAGGAAACUCUGGUGGAAGCUCGUAGCGAUUCUGACGUGCAAAUCGAUCGUCAAAUUUGGG